AGACCCGAAACCCGGUGAUCUAGCCAUGGGCAGGUUGAAGGUUGGGUAACACUAACUGGAGGACCGAACCGACUAAUGUUGAAAAAUUAGCGGAUGACCUGUGGCUGGGGGUGAAAGGCCAAUCAAACCGGGAGAUAGCUGGUUCUCCCCGAAAGCUAUUUAGGUAGCGCCUCGUGAAUUCAUCUCCGGGGGUAGAGCACUGUUUCGGCUAGGGGGCCAUCCCGGCUUACCAACCCGAUGCAAACUGCGAAUACCGGAGAAUGUUAUCACGGGAGACACACGGCGGGUGCUAACGUCCGUCGUGAAGAGGGAAACAACCCAGACCGCCAGCUAAGGUCCCAAAGUCAUGGUUAAGUGGGAAACGAUGUGGGAAGGCCCAGACAGCCAGGAUGUUGGCUUAGAAGCAGCCAUCAUUUAAAGAAAGCGUAAUAGCUCACUGGUCGAGUCGGCCUGCGCGGAAGAUGUAACGGGGCUAAACCAUGCACCGAAGCUGCGGCAGCGACACUCAGGUGUUGUUGGGUAGGGGAGCGUUCUGUAAGCCUGCGAAGGUGGCCUGUGAGGGUUGCUGGAGGUAUCAGAAGUGCGAAUGCUGACAUAAGUAACGAUAAAGCGGGUGAAAAGCCCGCUCGCCGGAAGACCAAGGGUUCCUGUCCAACGUUAAUCGGGGCAGGGUGAGUCGACCCCUAAGGCGAGGCCGAAAGGCGUAGUCGAUGGGAAACGGGUUAAUAUUCCCGUACUUGGUGUUACUGCGAAGGGGGGACGGAGAAGGCUAUGUUGGCCGGGCGACGGUUGUCCCGGUUUAAGCGUGUAGGUGUGUGUUCCAGGUAAAUCCGGUUCACUUUAACACUGAGGCGUGAUGACGAGGCACUACGGUGCUGAAGCAACAAAUGCCCUGCUUCCAGGAAAAGCCUCUAAGCAUCAGGUAACAUCAAAUCGUACCCCAAACCGACACAGGUGGUCAGGUAGAGAAUACCAAGGCGCUUGAGAGAACUCGGGUGAAGGAACUAGGCAAAAUGGUGCCGUAACUUCGGGAGAAGGCACGCUGACACGUAGGUGAAGUGAUUUA
rnacentral:rRNA from 1 species